UAGGGAAUCUUCCACAAUGGACGCAAGUCCGAUGGAGCAACGCCGCGUGAGUGAAGAAGGUCUUCGGAUCGUAAAACUCUGUUGUUAGAGAAGAACACGAGUGAGAGUAACUGUUCAUUCGAUGACGGUAUCUAACCAGCAAGUCACGGCUAACUACGUGCCAA
rnacentral:rRNA from 1 species